rnacentral:lncRNA from 1 species
CGAUCGAAUCUUUCUAGUUUCUCCAGUCACUGAUUAUGGAAGGCCGGAAGGGAAGGCAGAUUAACAGUUUUUCUUUUCAGGUUUUUGGUGUUUGGAAAUUGGAAUUGGUUUGUAAAUUGUAAUGGGUUUAUCUUCUCAUUUUUCUGUUUUCAAAGUUUUGUAAUUAAUGGGACAGAGUAGUUGGCUGGGAAAUGGUAACUUGGGUCUUGG